rnacentral:rRNA from 1 species
AACGUACGCUGGCGGCACGCUUAACACAUGCAAGUCGAACGAAGUAGCAAUACUUAGUGGCAGACGGGUGAGUAACAUGUGGGUAUCUGCCCUUUGGCCUGGAAUAACACGAGGAAACUUGUGCUAAUACCGGAUAAGUCUUUACGGAGAAAGCUUUAUGCACCAUUGGAUGAGCCCGCACUUGAUUAGUUUGUUGGUGGGGUAAUGGCCUACCAAGACUGUGAUCAAUAGCUGAUUUGAGAGGAUGAUCAGCCACAUUGGGACUGAGACACGGCCCAAACUCCUACGGGAGGCAGCAGUGGGGAAUCUUGCACAAUGGAGGAAACUCUGAUGCAGCGAUGCCGCGUGAGUGAAGAAGGCCCUUGGGUUGUAAAGCUCUUUCGUCGGGGAAGAAAAUGACUGUACCCGAAUAAGAAGGUCCGGCUAACUUCGUGCCAGCAGCCGCGGUAAUACGAAGGGACCUAGCGUAGUUCGGAAUUACUGGGCUUAAAGAGUUCGUAGGUGGUUGAAAAAGUUAGUGGUGAAAUCCCAGAGCUUAACUCUGGAACUGCCAUUAAAACUUUUCAGCUAGAGUAUGAUAGAGGAAAGCAGAAUUUCUAGUGUAGAGGUGAAAUUCGUAGAUAUUAGAAAGAAUACCAAUUGCGAAGGCAGCUUUCUGGAUCAUUACUGACACUGAGGAACGAAAGCAUGGGUAGCGAAGAGGAUUAGAUACCCUCGUAGUCCAUGCCGUAAACGAUGUGUGUUAGACGUUGGAAAUUUAUUUUCAGUGUCGCAGCGAAAGCGAUAAACACACCGCCUGGGGAGUACGACCGCAAGGUUAAAACUCAAAUGAAUUGACGGGGACCCGCACAAGUAGUGGAGCAUGUGGUUUAAUUCGAAGAUACGCGCAGAACCUUACCAACACUUGACAUGUUCGUCGCGACUCUAAGAGAUUAGAGUUUUCGGUUCGGCCGGACGAAACACAGGUGCUGCAUGGCUGUCGUCAGCUCGUGUCGUGAGAUGUUGGGUUAAGUCCCGCAACGAGCGCAACCCUCACUUUUAGUUGCCAUCAUUAAGUUGGGCACUCUGAAAGAACUGCCAGUGAUAAGCUGGAGGAAGGUGGGGAUGACGUCAAGUCCUCACGGCCCUUACGUGUUGGGCUACACACGUGCUACAAUGGUAUCUACAACAGGAAGCAAGACUGCGAGGUCAAGCAAAUCCUUAAAAGAUACCUCAGUUCGGAUUGCACUCUGCAACUCGAGUGCAUGAAGCUGGAAUUACUAGUAAUCGUGGAUCAGCGUGCCACGGUGAAUGCGUUCCCGGGUCU